UUUGUGGCGCCAGAAAUCAAGGGUUUUGGUUGGGGAGGGUUGUGUGUUAGUGCGCGCCAUAGAUUACCUAGGAAUGUUAUUAAAUAGUUUCAGUUUUGAUACAAUUAAGUAAUCCCAUAUUUAUGCUUUAGUACAAAAAUCGGUGUAAAGUUAGGAUGGUGAUGCUACGCAGCAGCGGCGUGGGCGCUGAACCAGCAACUCCGAAGAGGAACCGGGUUGACUUGGAUACGAGCUCCGAGUUUCUGUCGCUGAAGAGCGCAUCGCAGACAAAGUCGAGUCGGCUGAAGAGAGGCCUGAAUGACAGCUCCAGUAACACUGAAAACACACGAAAUGGCCACUCAAUGGUGAAGGAGGAGGAUAGCCCUCCGAGACGAGGAUCCCUGAGGACCAGGGGACAGACCGUCAAACAUGAGGUGUCCUUGGCUAAAAUGAAUGGCCAGACAAAGUGCCCAACCAAGUCCCCUGAGAAAGAGGAGGAAACUGGUGAACACAGCACAAGGAAAUCCCCAAGACUGCAGGGUGAUGGAAAAGCCUCCGCGUCAUCCAGGGAGAAGCAAUCUGAAGCUGAUGCUACUGAUGAAGUUGAGGAAGAAGAGGCCUCUACUCUGAAGACCCAGUUUGUUCUGCGUCCCAGGGAGGAGGACAGCUCUGUGAGACGCAGCUCCAGGAUCACCAGAUACAAGCGCAACUCCAGGAACCAGUCUGUACUCUAUAACCGCCUCAUCACCAAUACAGCUGAGGCAGUGCUGCAGAAGAUGGAUGACAUGCAGAAAAUGCGUCGCCGGUUAAGAAGCAGGGAUACUACAGAGGAGGACCUUGUAAUCUACGCUGGGGCCAAGAGGAAAAGGACUUCUGAAAGAACCGAUGAAGGAAGUGAAGACCCUCAAGAGAAUGAAAAUGAAGUGACCUCCAGUGAAGAGGAGAAUGAUGAGGAAGAGGGAGGCAAAAAUAAUCAGGCAGAUGACGAAGACGACGACGAUGAUGACGACCGUAAUGAAGAUGAGGAGGAGGAUGAUGACCAUGAUGAAGAUGACAACCAGAAACGUUAUGAUUUCAGGCAGAGGAAAGCUGCUGUUCGCUACCAGGCACCUCGAGAGGAGCCCAAGACAAAGGCCAUCUUCUUCAAGACUUCAAGACACUUGUCCCCAUCCAGGCGGAGGUAUAGAUUCAGCUCUACUGGUCCGAGAAGCCCUUACAACAUAAGGAGAGGCAACAGGAGUGUGUCUGAUAGAAGAAGACAUGCCAUCCACAGUAGUGACUCCACCUCCUCGUCCUCCUCCUCUUCCUCCUCCUCCUCUGAUGAUGACAAGUUCCAGAGGAGGAGGAGGAAGAGCAGGAACAGAUCGGGGAAUAGAUGUCUUCCCAUGAAUCUGCUGAAAGAGGAUGUCCUGGGAAUCCACAAGGACAGGAUGAAGAUUGGAGCUAGUCUAGCUGACGUUGACCCCAUGCAGAUAGACCAGACAGUGCGUUUUGACAGCAUUGGGGGACUGACCAGACACAUCUCUGCCCUGAAAGAGAUGGUGGUCUUCCCUCUGCUUUACCCAGAGGUGUUUGAGAGGUUCAAGAUCCAACCACCAAGGGGCUGUUUGUUCUACGGACCUCCUGGAACAGGGAAGACUCUAGUGGCCAGAGCGUUGGCUAACGAGUGCAGUCAGGGAGAGAGGAAGGUCUCUUUCUUCAUGAGAAAGGGAGCAGACUGCCUCAGCAAGUGGGUGGGAGAGUCCGAACGGCAGCUACGUCUUCUCUUCGACCAGGCGUAUCAGAUGCGGCCAUCGAUUAUAUUCUUUGAUGAGGUUGAUGGGUUGGCUCCCGUCCGCUCCAGCAGACAAGACCAGAUACACAGCUCCAUCGUGUCCACUCUCCUUGCCCUGAUGGAUGGGUUAGACAGCAGAGGAGAGGUUGUUGUGAUAGGAGCUACUAACCGUCUGGACUCUAUAGACCCAGCUCUCAGGCGACCUGGACGCUUCGACCGAGAGUUCCUCUUUGGCCUGCCUGACAGAGAGGCUCGGAAGGAUAUUCUGCAGAUCCACACCAGACAGUGGACUCCCCAGCCAUCAGCCUCUUUCCUGGAGGAACUGGCAGACAAGUGUGUUGGUUACUGCGGUGCUGACAUGAAGGCGGUAUGUGCUGAGGCGGCUCUGUGUGCCCUGAGGAGACGCUACCCUCAGAUUUACUCCUCGUCCCAGAAGCUGGUUUUAGAUGUGGCAUCGAUCUCCAUCGGCAGCAGGGACUUCCUGUCAGCCAUGAGGAAGACAGUCCCAGCCUCCCAGAGAGCUGUGUCGUCCCCAGCCAAGGCUCUGACUCCUGUAGUCCAGCCACUGCUUGGUGCAGCCUUACAGACUGUACUGGGUACAGUUAGCAGGCUGUUCCCACAUGCAGAACAGGGGCUCAAGAGAGACAAGCGAGACAACGGUGUCCUCCCAGCUGGUGUUUUAGAUGCUGAUCUCCUGCACAGUGAAGAGGAGGACUCCUCUGUCUGCAUCAACGGUCUCUCUCACAAGGCCAAGGCAGCUGGGGGCUUCCUGCAUUUCAGCAGGAGCGUGCUGAACCAGCCCACAUCGUACCGUCCCAGGCUGCUGCUGGCGGGGCGUCCUGGGUCAGGUCAGAGCAGUCACCUGGCCCCUGCUGUGCUCCAUGCCCUGGAGAAGUUCACAGUUUACACCCUGGACAUGGCCGUGCUGUUCGGGCGUCAGCACCACCUCUCCUGAGGAGGCCUGCGCUCAGAUGUUCUGUGAGGCCAAGAGGACGUCCCCCAGUAUCCUUUAUAUCCCUCACAUCCAGCGGUGGUGGGACACGGUGGGGUCUGCUCUCAGAGCUACCUUCCUCAGCUUGUUACAGGACAUCCCCUCAUUCUCACCCAUCCUGCUGCUGGCCACCUGUAAUGUCCCCCACAGCAGCCUCUUCCCUGAGGUCCAGGACCUGUUCUGUGCUGAGUAUGGAGAGGUGCUCCAGGUUCAGGUCCCAACCCCACAGGAGAGAAGGAACUUCUUUGAUGAUCUCAUCCUAAACCAGGCUGCCAAAGCUCCUGCAUCCAAGAAGAAAGCAGUGCUUGCAGCCCUGGAGGUGCUUCCCGUGGCUCCCCCUCUUCCCCCCGAGGAUGCUGACGGAGAAGGAGCAGCAGCGAUUGGAGGAGCAGGAAGAAGACACUCUCAGGGAGCUCCGCCUCUUCCUGCGUGAUGUCACCAACCGCCUCUCUCAGGACAAACGCUUCAAGGCCUUCACCAAGCCCGUCGACCUGGAGGAGGUACCUGACUAUGCUACAGUUAUAGAGCAGCCCAUGGACCUGUCCACUGUCCUCUCCAACAUCGACACUCACAAGUACGUGACUGUGAAGGAGUUUGUACAUGACGUGGAUCUCAUCUGGAAGAACUGUCUGGAAUACAACCCUGACAAAGAUCCUUCAGAUCGUCAGAUCCGCCACAGAGCCUGUGCUCUGAAGGACACUGUUCAGGCCAUCGUCAAAGACGAACUGGAUGAAGACUUUGAGAAGAUCUGCGAGGAUAUCAAGGAGUCCCGCAGCACAAGAGGUUGCUCCACUUCAAGGUUUGCUCCAUCCUACUAUCACGUUCAUCCCAAGACAAGAGCAGUGGAUGCCAAGAGCACCGAUGCAGCAGGCCCCUCUAAAGAGUCUACCGCUGCUGCUCCCUCAGCUGUGACCACACCACGCCCUUCAGCAGCUCAGAAGAAGAAGCGCAGGAAGAGCCGCUGGUGCAACGGCAUCAUCAGGAAAAGGUCCUCUCCUCACAAUUCUAAAGACCACUCUGCUGUGGUGGAGUCUGGAGAGGAAGAGGAGAGGAGAGGGGCAGAGAGUGAGGAGGAGGGUGGUGAUGCUGCAGAGUCAGGCGUGGAGGAGCUGGAGAUCACUGGGGUUGAGGAGACCCCCAUGGAGCAGGAGGAACCAGCCCAACAGAAGAACCAGGACAGACAGCCCAUGGAGAAAGACACUAAGGACAGCCGGACCACGGAGGAGGCUAGCCAGGCUACAACGGAGGCUACCCAGCCCAGGGUGGAGGAAGCUGUGGAGGCUAGGGCUGGAGACCAUAGCAGUGAGGGCACCCAGGACCCUGCAGUGGUGGUUGGAGCCCAGGAAAACCACAUCUUACCAGAAGGGGGAGACAAUGGGCAGGCGUCCACUACAGACAAAACUGAGCCUCAGAGAGUGGAAGUGGAGGAAGAGAAUACCACAGAAGUAGGAGUGAGGCGUGUGACGCAGCGCUUGAAGUACCAGGGGAUGCAGCAGGUGAUGGCUGUUGACCAGGAGUUACUGGACCAGAAGACAAAGCCCCCUGUGGUGGAUCACAACAAACUAAAGGAGAUGCUUCAGAGAGCGGUGUCUAAGACUGAGGGAUAUGAGGUCUAUCAACUGGAGAAGCUAUACGCCUUGUUAUGUCAGAGUAUCUACAGACACCGCAAAGACUACGACAAGACUGCCCUGCUGAAGGAAAUGGAAAAUGAAAUUGAAGAUUUUUCAUAAUGAGUUUUAUACAAUAAAGAUGUAGCUAGUCAUGGAUUGCUCGUAGUAUUCCCCAUUGUCUAAAUGUAUAAAGAACAAGUCUAGAACUAUAUUUUGAUAGAAAUAUACAGAUGUGUAUUUCCUAACAACUUGUAUACUGGUGCUUUUAUUUAAUUAAAGUGUUUUUUUUACAAGUA